rnacentral:rRNA from 1 species
UAAGCCUACGGGACGCAGCAGUGAGGAAUAUUGGUCAAUGGUCGGGAGACUGAACCAGCCAAGCCGCGUGAGGGAGGAAGGUACAGAGUAUCGUAAACCUCUUUUGUCAGGGAACAAAGGCGGGGACGUGUCCCCGGAUGAGUGUACCUGAAGAAAAAGCAUCGGCUAACUCCGUGCCAGCAGCCGCGGUAAUACGUAGGUGGCGAGCGUUAUCCGGAAUGAUUGGGCGUAAAGGGUGCGCAGGCGGUCCUGCAAGGCUGGAGUGAAA